UACGUAGGGUGCGAGCGUUGUCCGGAAUUAUUGGGCGUAAAGAGUGCGUAGGCGGUCGUGUUAGUCUUCUGUUUAAUCCAUCGGCUCAACCGGUGAACUGCAGAGGAAACGGCACGACUGGAGUGUGUGAGAGGUUUGCGGAACUCAUGGUGUAGGGGUGAAAUCCGUUGAUAUCUGGGGAACACCAAAUGCGAAGGCAGCAAACUGGCACAUCACAUGACGCUGAGGCACGAAAGCGUGGGUAGCGAAUGGG
rnacentral:rRNA from 1 species